rnacentral:rRNA from 1 species
UCCUGGCUCAGGACGAACGCUAGCGGCGUGCCUAAUGUAUGCAAGUCGAGCGGAGCAAAGGCUUCGGCUUUUGUUCAGCGGCAAACGGUUGAGUAACACGUAGGCAACCUGCCCCAGAGACGGGGAUAGCCCGCCGAAAGGCGGAUUAAUACCGGAUGUGGCCGGGGGGGACAUCCCCCUUGUGCUAAAGGGAGUGAUCCGCUCUGGGAGGGGCCUGCGGCCUAUCAGCUAGUUGGUGGGGUAACGGCCUACCAAGGCGACGACGGGUAGCUGGUCUGAGAGGAUGGUCAGCCAGACAGGGACUGCGACACGGCCCUGACUCCUUUGGGGGGCAGCAAUGAGGGAUAUUGCACAAUGGGGGAAACCCUGAUGCAGCGACGCCGCGUGGGUGACGAAGUCCUUCGGGAUGUAAAGCCCUUUUCUCGGGGAAGAGAACGGACGGUACCCGAGGAAGAAGCCCCGGCUAACUACGUGCCAGCAGCCGCGGUAAUACGUAGGGGGCAAGCGUUGUCCGGAAUUACUGGGCGUAAAGCGCCUGUAGGCGGGAACGUGCGUCGGACGUGAAAGGCGGGGGCUUAACCCCCGAGCGGCGUUCGAAACGGCGUUUCUUGAGGGUCGAAGAGGAGCGUGGAAUUCCCGGUGUAGCGAUGAAAUGCGUAGAGAUCGGGAGGAACACCCAUGGCGAAGGCAGCGCUCUGGUCGGCAUCUGACGCUGAGAGGCGAAAGCGUGGGGAGCGAACGGGAUUAGAUACCCCGGUAGUCCACGCCGUAAACGAUGGUCACUAGGUGUCAGCGGUAUCGACCCCGCUGGUGCCGCAGCUAACGCAGUACGUGACCCGCCUGGGGAGUACGGCCGCAAGGUUGACACUCAAAGGAAUUGACGGGGGCCCGCACAAGCGGUGGAGCAUGGGGAUUAAUUCGUCACUAACCGAAGAACUUUACCAUGGUUUGACAU